AUCUAUGGCCAUGCCACCCUUAACGCCCCCAAUCUCAUCUGAUCUCGGAAGCUAAGCAGCGUCGGGCCUGGUUAGUACUUGGAUAGGAGACUGCUAGGAAUACUGGUUGCUGUAGGCU
ensembl:rRNA 5S_rRNA 5S ribosomal RNA